rnacentral:lncRNA from 1 species
GUAUGUGUUAUGGCAAAAGAGUUGCAUCUUCUUCGGGAUCAACAUCCAUGUUCAUAUGAAUAAAAUUUUGUAACAAACAACAAGCAAUAAUAAUGUGGCUUUGAACCGUAAUAGGAUAGAACGAGGGACUUCGUAGAAUUGCCCAUCUUUUCUUAAGCAACCCAAAGCACUGCUCAAUCACAUUUCUAGCCGAAGAAUGCUUCUUAUUAAAUAACUCUAGACGAUUUUGUGGUGCCCGAUGACCUUGAACCCACUCAUUCA